GAGAAGGCGGGCAGAGCCUCCUUUCUUGUCACCUGAGAACGGGGGAGCGGGCACAGAGAGGACCCGGAUCUGUGUCCUGGGUUCAGUUUCCCGGAGGGUCUGAUCUAGACUGUGCUCUAAUGGACCUGGCCUGCUGGUGGGAAGGAGCGCCACCAGCCCAGCCUCUUCUUCAGCAGGUACCUGGAAGCCGAGCCCGAGAGCUCCCACGCUGCCCGCAAGGAGCCAAGCGCGGCAGCUAGGCUAAUUCCCACCCGGAAACCCUCACGCAGACUUUGGGGAUGGGGGGGUAGGGUACCCCUACCCGCGCCUCUGGCA